CUCCAACUCCUUCCUUACUCCUUAAUCAUCAGCAAAAUGCACUAGCCUCCACCAAAGAAAUCAAACCCUAGCCUCCACACAACCCUAGCCUCUAUCGCGUCGUCGUUGGUCAAACUGUCACCGCCGGGUUCGUCGUGGUUGUUCUUCAGCCCCACCGUCAUGCUCCUUGUCCCGCUUUGUGCUCUGUCUUGAAGGAUCUAGUUCGUUCCUUGCUUGAUUGAGCAGGUAAGUACAUUCAUCUUCUGAUUCUUCUCCCUUGACUAAGCCCGGUCGAAUUGAAUUUUUCACGACGAUACUACAAUCUCCGCUCUCUUUAGAAGUUUUAUAUUUUGUUUUUUUAACUGUAAUUAUUGUUUUAAACUUUUAAUUGGUUAGUUAAUCUACAUCGUUUUCAUCUUGCUUCUUCAAUUGUUAUUAUCAUUUGUCAUUACUGGGAUUUAUGAUUGUUAAUGAUCUUGAAUAUUGAUUCUGACAUGCUAUGGUUCUAUGAAUUGAUUGAUUUGGUUCUGAUAAUUCUUGAUUUGAACCUUGCUGAAGUUGUUCUGUUACCUAAUUUGUUGGAAUUGAACUUGAGCAACAACAAACUAGAAGGAAGCAUCCCCUCUGACCUCAAGUCAUUCGGAGCUCUUUAUUGUCUGUUCUCUUGAUCUUAGUGGGAAUUUGUUGAAUGGAACAAUACGAAGAGUGCUUGGAGAAUUGAAGCAGUUGCAGUGGUUGAAUCUCUCUCGCACCAAUUUUUCUGGCACAAUUCCAUCUAAUUUUAAUGGUAGGUCAAGCCUAACUUUGGUCAUGUUAUUGGUUCUGCUUCUUAUCUUUGGAUUAUUUGGUGUCUGAAAGAAAUGCAACCAGAAGAACAAUUUUUCAUAUGGAGUCAUGAUGGAAAAAAUGGCAUUUGAAACCAUCAUUAAAGCUGCCAAUAAUUUUCAUGACAAAUACCUCAUGGGCAUUGGAGGGCAAUGAUCUGUUUACAAGGCUGAGUUGCCUUCAGAUAUCAAGCUCAAAGGAAUUGCCUAACAUAGAAAGUUCUUCCCUAAGCCUAAGGAAAGGAGAAUGUGAAAGAGGAAGAAUUUAUGGAAUUGGUGCACUACAUGAAGAUUUUUUAAAUUAGUUUGUUUAUAAUUUCAGUUCAAUUUGGUUCUAUUUCUGAUUCAGUCCCUUUUUGCUUUUCAUAUUGCUUCUUGAUUUUUCUGAGUCAGGUUCAUUAUGUAAUUUGAAUUUCUGGUUUACUGUUCUAAUUUAUGUUGUUUUAAUUUUUAGAAGACAUAAUUUUAAAUCA